rnacentral:tRNA from 1 species
GACCCUGUAACGCCAUGGAUAGCCUGUUGAACAUCUAAUCCAAAGGUCGUGGGUUCGAAUCCCAUUUGGGAUGUUCU